UACGUAGGGUGCGAGCGUUGUCCGGAAUUACUGGGCGUAAAGGGCGCGUAGGCGGUGUGUCAAGUCAGGCGUGAAAUUCCUGGGCUCAACCUGGGGACUGCGCUUGAGACGUGUGGGCUUGAGUGGGGAAGAGGGUCGUGGAAUUCCCAGUGUAGAGGUGAAAUUCGUAGAUAUUGGGAAGAACACCGGUGGCGAAGGCGGCGACCUGGUCCUUGACUGACGCUGAGGCGCGAAAGCGUGGGGAGCAAACAGGAUUGAGAAACCCCG
rnacentral:rRNA from 1 species